UACGUAGGGGGCAAGCGUUAUCCGGAUUUACUGGGUGUAAAGGGAGCGUAGGUGGCAUGGCAAGCCAGAAGUGAAAACCCGGGGCUUAACCCCGCGGAUUGCUUUUGGAACUGUCAGGCUGGAGUGCAGGAGGGGCAGGCGGAAUUCCUGGUGUAGCGGUGAAAUGCGUAGAUAUCAAGAGGAAUACUCAUUGCGAAGGCGACCUGCUAGAACAUAACUGACGCUGAUGCGCGAAAGCGUGGGGAGCAAACAGG
rnacentral:rRNA from 1 species